GUCCACGCCCUAAACGAUGCUCACUAGGUGUUGGGGAAGCGAUUCCUUGGUACCGUAGCUAACGCGUGAAGUGAGCCGCCUGGGGAGUACGGCCGCAAGGUUAAAACUCAAAGGAAUUGACGGGGACCCGCACAAGCGGUGGAUGAUGUGGAUUAAUUCGAUGCAACGCGAACAACCUUACCUACCCUUGACAUGUCUGGAAGCCUGCUGAAAGGCGGGUGUGCUCGAAAGAGAACCGGAACACAGGUGCUGCAUGGCUGUAGU
rnacentral:rRNA from 1 species